rnacentral:lncRNA from 1 species
UUUUUGAACUGUGAUUUAAUUGUAGAUUAUUAAAAAAAUAUUCUUUUUUUUUUCAGAAACAAAUUUAAGGCAUUUCCUUCAUUUUAAGUAAGUUAUUCGAUUGGGCUGGACCCAAUAACGUUUUAUCAUAAUUUAAGAUUUUAUUUUAAUUAAUUAGAAAUUGUGUUUGUUAGACUGUGUUUCUUAUAAAUAAAUAGGCGCUGCGAGUGAUUGUAUCGUGUGCCUCUUCCAUCAACACUGGGUUUCGGUUAUUCGAUUAUGUCAGGUUCUUUCUCUCUUACUUUCUUCAGAAAUUUUAUUUUCUUCUUCUUCUUCAUGUGAAACUUAAAUAAUAUUUUGUUUCUUCUGGCAUUUUUCUUUUGGUAUAUCGAUCAUUUGAUGAGAAAAAAACUGCAACUAUAUGAAGCAGCGAUUAGAGAUGAGGAUGUUUACAUUUGAUGAGAAAAAAACUUAGUUUGGUUUUCCUUGAAUUUUUAUUGCCGUAUACGUCUUUGUUCUUUUUUCCUUGAAUCUUUAUUUUUACUUCUUGUAUAGUUAUAUUUCUUUAUCUCAAAUUAUGAAAUUUUUAUUUUUAUUAUUUCUUUGAAAUUCUUGAUUCUUUAGUCGAAUUUAAGGUGGCUUUGUCUCAGUGACAUUCUUCCUUUGUUGCAGUAUGUGUUGCUAUGUAUGUUUUAAGAAAUAUUGUUUCUUUAGGUAUUUUCCAAUAGAAAUUGAAAUCUUGCGCUAAUCCUUUUGUGUUUUGAUUUUGGUUUUUUGGGUUCUGCAGGGACCAUUUCCGAGCUUUUCAGAUGAAUAUGAAUGAAAAUUCUGGUACUUAGCAGAAUUUCUAAUUUAUUUAUAAUUCUUUUAUUUGGAAGAACUUAUAAUUUAUUUAUUUAUAAUUUAUUAAU